rnacentral:rRNA from 1 species
GAUGAACGCUGGCGGCGUGCCUAAUACAUGCCAGUCGAGCGAACAGAUGAGGAGCUUGCUCCUCUGACGUUAGCGGCGGACGGGUGAGUAACACGUGGAUAACCUACCUAUAAGACUGGGAUAACUUCGGGAAACCGGAGCUAAUACCGGAUAAUAUAUUGAACCGCAUGGUUCAAUAGUGAAAGACGGUUUUGCUGUCACUUAUAGAUGGAUCCGCGCCGCAUUAGCUAGUUGGUAAGGUAACGGCUUACCAAGGCAACGAUGCGUAGCCGACCUGAGAGGGUGAUCGGCCACACUGGAACUGAGACACGGUCCAGACUCCUACGGGAGGCAGCAGUAGGGAAUCUUCCGCAAUGGGCGAAAGCCUGACAGAGCAACGCCGCGUGAGUGAUGAAGGUCUUCGGAUCGUAAAACUCUGUUAUUAGGGAAGAACAAAUGUGUAAGUAACUAUGCACGUCUUGACGGUACCUAAUCAGAAAGCCACGGCUAACUACGUG